AACGAACGCUGGCGGCAUGCCUAACACAUGCAAGUCGAACGAGACCUUCGGGUCUAGUGGCGCACGGGUGCGUAACGCGUGGGAACCUGCCUUUAGGUUCGGAAUAACUCAGAGAAAUUUGAGCUAAUACCGGAUGAUUUCUUCGGACCAAAGAUUUAUCGCCUUUAGAUGGGCCCGCGUUGGAUUAGCUAGUUGGUGGGGUAAAGGCCUACCAAGGCGACGAUCCAUAGCUGGUCUGAGAGGAUGAUCAGCCACACUGGGACUGAGACACGGCCCAGACUCCUACGGGAGGCAGCAGUGGGGAAUAUUGGAAAAUGGGCGAAAGCCUGACCCAGCAAUGCCGCGUGAGUGAUGAAGGCCUUAGGGUUGUAAAGCUCUUUUACCCGAGAUGAUAAUGACAGUAUCGGGAGAAUAAGCUCCGGCUAACUCCGUG
rnacentral:rRNA from 1 species